rnacentral:misc_RNA from 1 species
GUCGGUUACUUCCUCUUGCCCAAGCUCAAAAUCAUCAACAGUCUCUGGAGAAUCCACUUGGUCCACAAAAAUAUCUUCUUCAGUAGUACCGAUCAUGGUCAUCUUGACGGAGGACUUGAGAUUGAGCUCGGAUAUGAGGAGGUUGUCGCACCCGAGCUUGGUGGCGAGCUUGGGGUAGAGGAGCUUCUGUCGCUUGGGGAGGACGGUGGUGACCUCGC